CUUCCGGGUCGCCUAGAUCGUUCUGCGUGAGGGGGAGGAGUAGGCAGACCGACUGCGCGGGGGAUGGAGCGGGACCUGCUCCGCCAGGCGCUCGGCUUUCACGGGCCGGCGCUACUCCCCUUGCUCCGCACAGAGCAGCACGACAACCCCGACUUCCGAGGCCUUCUGCCGCCUGGCGGGCCUGGCCUGGAGGCGCUGCCGCCAGCCAGGAAAGAGAGAGGACUUGAAAAUAUUGAGAUACAGCAUUUCAUUGCAAAAAAAGCUGAUCUCCUUUUUUCUCAUGCUUGGAAAACAAAUGUGCCAACAACAACAGAAGCAAAUGAAGAGAAUGAAGAUUAUUAUGCUACUAUGCCACCUUUGGAGCAGUACAUGGAUGUUCCCAGUGCAGAGAGGAGAGAGCUGUUUUUCCGUGAUAUUGAGCGUGGGGACAUAGUGAUUGGAAGGAUUAGUUCCAUUCGUGAAUUUGGUUUUUUCAUGGUGCUGUUCUGCCUUCGAAGUGGUGUCACUCGAGAGAUAGCAGAUCUAGAGAUCACUGCUCUUUGUCCAUUGAGGGAUGUGCCUUCCCAGAGCAGCCAUGGUGACCCUUUAUCAUACUAUCAAACAGGUGACCUUAUCCAAGCUGCAAUCAAGGAUAUUGAUCGCUACCAUGAAAAGCUCACAGUAUCACUGCACAGCUCUGCUCUAUCACCCAGUCUAGCAAGUACCAAAUUAGGAGUAAUCAGCUCAGAAGAUUUGCCUCUGCACUACAGGAAAAGUGUUGAAAUAGCCAGCAGUUUGGAAACAUAUGAUAAAGUUUUACAUCAUUCCUUGGGCUUUGCCAAUCCAGCUGUAGUUGAGUUUCUGGUAGGAAAACUAGGAUUGAAUGAAUCCAGCCCACCAUCCUUAAUGAGAGGACUACAAAGUAAAAAUUUCAACGAAGAAGAUUUUGCUAUUGCUUUGAGGAAAAAACAGUCGGCCUCCUGGGCCUUAAAAUGUGUCAAGAUUGGUGUGGAUUAUUUCAAAGAAGGCCGCCAUGUGGAUGCUAUGAAUGAAUACAACAAGGCGCUGGAAAUAGAUGUGCAAAAUGUUGAAGCCUUAGUAGCCCGUGGAGCUCUGUAUGCAACAAAAGGAAGCUUAAAUAAAGCAAUUGAUGAUUUUCAGGUUGCUCUAGAAAACUGUCCAACACACAGAAAUGCCAGGAAAUACCUUUGCCAAACGCUUGUUGAACGGGGAGGCCAGUUAGAAGAGGAGGAUAAGCUGUUAAAUGCUGAGAGUUACUACAAGAAGGCUUUAAACAUAGAUGAGACCUUUCAAGAAGCUGAGGAUGCCUUGUUGAAACUUCGUAAGCAGAUGCAGGUGAUUCUUUAUUUUCUCUUAGUUGACUGAGUUAAAUGCAUCAAGAGGCAUGCAUUAUUUUUUGUUCUUCUUGCAAGCUUCCAUGGAUCAUUUACUUGGAACAUGGUUGCAGCUAUCGAACUGGAUGUGUGUGGACUUUCUGAACUGCUGAUAAGUCAGGGGUGGGGGCUGAUUUGAGAGAAGAGGUAAAAUAUGGCACUGAAGGUAGAUUCAAGAUGCCUCAAUCAGAUUAGUUCUGCCAACAGGACCUACCUGUAUUGCGUAGUUAAGUGAAUUUUCAGAGCAGAGUUACUCGGAAAUAUGUGUUGUUUCUGAAGCACAUGUAUGCUUGGGAUCAGAUUGCAAGGUUGGCACAGGAGGGUUUACAAGAACUUGAUUCCAGCAGAACCAAAAUAAAUCCUGCAAAAGAAAAGGUUGCCUUUUCUUUUGGCACUGGUGCCAAUAACUUGGGAUAUUGAUCCAGCAACUAGAUUCACAUUUCCUCCUGUGCCAUGAGCUUGCUGAUUAUCUACAACUGAAUAUAAUUUUCAAAGAUCCUUAACCUACAGGAUUAGUUAGCAUGCCCUCAAAGUUUGGUAACAAAAGUUUUAGCAGAUGAGAUUUAUUUAUAGCGUGCAUGUUUGAAACACAUUGAGGGUCACUUUGUACGUGCUAGUAUUGGGCUUUUACCCUCUACAUGCUGCCUCUCCUCCGUCAUGCAGAGAAGAAUACAUGCAAAGCGGGAUGCCAUGUCUAUUUUUACAGAGACAUUUCCACAUAACAUGCCAGCAAAAAGCAGCCUGUAAAUGGAAGCUUGGUAAAAAUAGACUCGUUGUCCCCCUUCGUAUAAGCACCUCUCUCCCCUUGGUGGGGAAUCUAAACAAGCACAUACAAAGUUGACUUGAGUUACUGCUGAGAAUUAACAGUUGCCCUCCUGUAAUACUGAUGAUAUGUUUUUCUUCAAUGCAUUUUCCUCUGAACUGGAACUGUUGCUGCUGUGUCUGACCUCUGGUGCUGCUCAUCAACAACCCAUUGGAAUAUGAUUACGUGUGUAAACCAUGCAUCAAACUGGGCUGUGAUACGGUUGCCAAAUGAAAUCUGUGGAAAUGAGAGAGAAACAAGCUGCAAAAGAAGAGAGACAAAAAGAGAAGAAAAUAG